ACUCCUACGGGAGGCAGCAGUGGGGAAUAUUGCACAAUGGGGGAAACCCUGAUGCAGCCAUGCCGCGUGUGUGAAGAAGGCCUUCGGGUUGUAAAGCACUUUCAGUAGGGAGGAAGGUAGUGUAGUUAACACCUGCAUUAUUUGACGUUACCUACAGAAGAAGCACCGGCUAACUCCGUGCCAGCAGCCGCGGUAAUACGGAGGGUGCGAGCGUUAAUCGGAAUUACUGGGCGUAAAGCGCAUGCAGGCGGCCUGUUAAGUCAGAUGUGAAAGCCCGGGGUCUUAACCUCGGAAUUGCAUUUGAAACUGGCAGGCUAGAGUCUUGUAGAGGGGUUAGAAUUUCAGGUGUAGCGGUGAAAUGCGUAGAGAUCUGAAGGAAUACCAGUGGCGAAGGCGGCCCCUGGACAAAGACUGACGCUCAGAUGCGAAAGCGUGGGAGCAAACAGGAUUAGAUACCCCUGGUAGACUGUCA
rnacentral:rRNA from 1 species